AAUAACUUUAUUUUUCAGUUUUUUGAUACAAUGUUUUGAUUCUUCGUCUUAUUUGAAAUUUGUUGUGAUUAAUAUUUUCAUUGUUACUAGAUAAUAAAAUAUGAAUAGUGACUAAUUCUUUUAAGUUUUUGUACAAAUUUUUAAAUAAGACAAAUGGUCAAACGUUGGACACGGAAAA
rnacentral:pre_miRNA from 1 species